CUGGUCCCUCAGGGUCCUGCUCUAGGGUCUUCCUGAUUCGCAGCAGUUGUCCUGGGAGUCUUCAGUCUCAUGAGACUUGAAACGCUGCAGUGUGAGCACCAUGCUAGCCCGCACGCUCUACAGACUGAGCUGAGCUGGCCUGGGGGGGCCCCUCCCUCUCUGGGGCUACCCAUCAAGGGGCGCCAGGCACCAUGGAUGCAGCCAAUGUUACAGCAGUGUGCUUUUCGGGAUAUGAUUCUUGUUUCCUUGGGUGGGGAGUGUCACUCCCGGUAAAGCAUCCUUGUGGUUCUGAUGCGCCUCUAUAUUUGUAUUCUUCUGAACUGACAGGAAAUCCCCUUAGUAGUCUGCAGCAGAUUUGAAGGUUAAAUGAACUUGGUUCAUGAAACAUUUGUCAUAUUUAGAAGUAGACUAGAAAGGAUAACUCUGCUGGUAUCUGGAGUUGCUUGUUACAAGAAAGUAUGCACCAUCCUCUUGCGAGUGUUUUCCUAUGACUGGAAAGGUCUUGAGCAAAUUUUCCUAAAUCCAGGGGAUCCAGCAUCAUCUGCAUUGGCAGCCCCAUCCCACUCAUCCUACACCUCAUUUGGCAUCACAGAGCAGGUUCUGGGCCACCUGGGUCCCUGGCCUCAUAGGUCAGUCGAGGUCAUAAAUCAGCAGUCGGGAACUAGUCAGGAGCCGAUGGUGGGGUUUGGCCUUAUGCAUCCCGGAUAAGAAUACACCUUUCAGGUAGGAUUUGGGCCACAGCCAAAGCUCCAGGUACUUGCUAAAAAUUACAACGGCCAGGUCACUGGCCUUGCCAGCUUAUACCAGUACCUCAGAGAGUAGACUUAGUGCUCCACCUCCCUCCAAGGAUCCGGAAGCCUGACACCAGGGCUGGAGGUGCUGUGUAUGGCAGGGGCCGUCAGAGAUCCGGACAGAAUCCCAUAGACAGGACUAACUGCUCCCUGUCAUGGGACUCCCCCCACAGAAGGGCCCACUCCGUGAGUGAUCGAUCUACCAUUAUCUACUGUGGUGCAUCCCUGGGAGUUCUCUGCCAUCGCCUCCUGCCCCAUGAUAGAUCUUUUGGUAAGAUCUGCUGACAGCAGAGCCAUACCAAAGGCUGAGGUCUGUGCCUCUGGUGCUCUGCAUUCCUGGGAGACCUAUGGCUGCCACUCCCAGGCCUGGUUUGUGGAUCUAGCCGGGCUGUCUGAGCCAAUAAGUGUGUCCUUAGAAGUAAGGGGAACUCUAGGGCAAGCGAUGAGUUAGUAUUUAAUGAGCAGGUGUUGACAGGAACUUGCUACAGCUACCUUGGCUGCGCUGUCUCAUUCUGUGCUUGCCCUCCUGGGAUACAGUGAAAAACUUGGGUGGGGAGGACACUUUCCUAGAAGAUACAACAGAAAGUCACUGUCAGAUUUCAUGUCUUCCUGUUUCCUGAGGUCAAAUGAAGAAGAAUCCAAUGGCAAGGACAUUGCCAUUUGCAUUUUAUCAGACAUAUUGGGAAUAUUGUAGUUCAAGGCCUUUGACCUUCCCAAGAGGAGAUGUACCAUUGUGUACAUUGUGACUUCUGGAACUGUCCAUCCUUUCCACCUUCAGGCUUGUGCUACCACUUCUGUCCUAAAAAUCCCCGUAAAGAGUCAUUGAUGACGAGAGAGCUUCCUGGGCCUCCUUUCCUGGCUGGUCUCAAGUCCUCUUAAGAAAAGGUUCCCUCCCCAUUCCCGAAAACACCUUUCUCCACGUGCACCCAUCUCAGUAUGUGAGGCAGGUGGGGGAGGACACGCAGGCCCUUGGAAGUCAGCCCAGCGUGGCACCAGCACCCUAAAUUGUGCCGUAGAACCACGAGAAGAAUGUGGUUUUAUGGAACAUGUGCAUUUCAGUAUGUUUACUUGGAUUUCAGCUUCUUAUGAGGUGGAAACAUCUCAAAGCUCAGAAUGCCUCCUCAGAUUCCUUGCCAUGUGAGCACUCCUGAGUGAUUUUUAUAACAUGUGGUACCGGGCACCUUAGGGGUCUGUCUCCCAGCUCACCUCUCCACUGCUUGGCUUUGGCUCCCAAGGUGUCCCAGGCCAGAUCUGACACACCAGCCUCCCCUCCUUCCAUUUGUCUUGGGUCUGCCACCCGUAACCACACUCCACCUUGGACCCUCCACCAGGGAGGGCCAGGAUCGCAUGUCAGGGCAGUCUGGUCUAAGUCAGAUUCCCUUCCCUCCCAGGCCUCAGAGAACAGGUGAGUGGGCUUCAGGGUGACACAUUCCCCUGAGCCAUCCGUGAGACUGCUGCAGGGACACAGAAAAGGGACUGUCACCCAGGGCACAAAGAUGAGGUUGAUGGUGACAGCACCACAGCGGGGAGCCCUUCCCUGCCCCACUGGCCCGGGCACCUUGAUCCUGCCCUGGAGAGCUCUUCACAGGCAAGGAGGAAGUGCGGACCGCUUCUUUGUGUUGCAUUGGCCAUUCCCCUCACAUAGGCCUGGCCCCUGCAUCCCAGAGCCCAGACGGCCUCCUGCCAGGUGGUAGAACAGCUCUCCAGGUUCGUCCUGGCAGGAAAAUGGGCUGCAUAUUAGUGCCGUGUGAGAUCUGGGGCCUCUUACUUGUUUUUUGGUUUUGGGGUUUUUUUUGAAAGAAAGAAAAAAAGUACAAUUAAGCCUCUUUUGUAAAUGGGUUUCCUUUUUAUGUAUAAAAUCCUGGCAGUUCCUUGUUUUUACAUGUUCAUGCUGUGUAAUUUUGAGAUGUUACUGAGAUUCUGAACAUAAUGUGCAUUUUUUUCUGUACAGAUGAAAUGGGAGAAUUUAAUAAAGAGUUUGCAGGUUUGUACUUGUUAAA
ensembl:lncRNA